rnacentral:rRNA from 1 species
CCACGCCGUAAACGAUGAAUACUAGGUGUAGGAGGUAUCGACUCCUUCUGUGCCGCAGUUAACGCAUUAAGUAUUCCACCUGGGGAGUACGGCCGCAAGGUUAAAACUCAAAGGAAUUGACGGGGGCCCGCACAAGCAGUGGAGUAUGUGGUUUAAUUCGAGGCAACGCGAAGAACCUUACCAGGGCUUGACAUCCUCUGACCGCCUAAGAGAUUAGGUUUCCCUUCGGGGCAGAGAGACAGGUGGUGCAUGGUUGU